UUCUUUAUCACCGAGUGCUUGCACUCACCGAUAAAGUUUUGAGUGGCGAACGGGUGAGUAACACGUGGGCAACCUGCCCAAAAGAGGGGGAUAACACUUGGAAACAGGUGCUAAUACCGCAUAACCAUAGUUACCGCAUGGUAACUAUGUAAAAGGUGGCUAUGCUACCGCUUUUGGAUGGGCCCGCGGCGCAUUAGCUAGUUGGUGGGGUAAAGGCUUACCAAGGCAAUGAUGCGUAGCCGAACUGAGAGGUUGAUCGGCCACAUUGGGACUGAGACACGGCCCAAACUCCUACGGGAGGCAGCAGUAGGGAAUCUUCCACAAUGGGCGAAAGCCUGAUGGAGCAACGCCGCGUGGGUGAAGAAGGUCUUCGGAUCGUAAAACCCUGUUGUUAGAGAAGAAAGUGCGUGAGAGUAACUGUUCACGUUUCGACGGUAUCUAACCAGAAAGCCACGGCUAACUACGUGCCAGCAGCCGCGGUAAUACGUAGGUGGCAAGCGUUAUCCGGAUUUAUUGGGCGUAAAGGGAACGCAGGCGGUCUUCUAAGUCUGAUGUGAAAGCCUUCGGCUUAACCGGAGUAGUGCAUUGGAAACUGGGAGACUUGAGUGCAGAAGAGGAGAGUGGAACUCCAUGUGUAGCGGUGAAAUGCGUAGAUAUAUGGAAGAACACCAGUGGCGAAAGCGGCUCUCUGGUCUGUAACUGACGCU
rnacentral:rRNA from 1 species